CCUGAUGGCGGGGGAUAACUAGUGGAAACGGUAGCUAAUACCGCAUAACGUCGCAAGACCAAAGUGGGGGACCUUCGGGCCUCACGCCAUCAGAUGUGCCCAGGUGGGAUUAGCUGGUAGGUGGGGUAACGGCUCACCUAGGCGACGAUCCCUAGCUGGUCUGAGAGGAUGACCAGCCACACUGGAACUGAGACACGGUCCAGACUCCUACGGGAGGCAGCAGUGGGGAAUAUUGCACAAUGGGCGCAAGCCUGAUGCAGCCAUGCCGCGUGUGUGAAGAAGGCCUUCGGGUUGUAAAGCACUUUCAGCGA
rnacentral:rRNA from 1 species